rnacentral:misc_RNA from 1 species
AAGGUAACUGGAUCAUUAACACGUAUCCAACGUUAAACCCCCCUGUGAACUUUUAUACUGGCGUGGUUUCCCCAAGCAGUCAGUGUCUGGAAAUGUCAUCGAGUGUGUAAGGAUAACGCUUUUCGAUCACUAGAGGCCGAACACCGGCCGGUGACCCAGGUCGUGGCUUCGGCCCCCUACAUUAACCCCACUACCUGAACUCGCCUCGUAGGAAACUGCUGGGCAACUAAACGAACAACUGUUAACAAUGGAUAUCUUGGUUCUU